rnacentral:rRNA from 1 species
AUACGGAGGGGGUUAGCGUUGUUCGGAAUUACUGGGCGUAAAGCGCACGUAGGCGGACUGGAAAGUUGGGGGUGAAAUCCCGGGGCUCAACCCCGGAACUGCCUCCAAAACUUCCAAUCUAGAGAUCGAGAGAGGUGAGUGGAAUUCCAAGUGUAGAGGUGAAAUUCGUAGAUAUUUGGAGGAACACCAGUGGCGAAGGCGGCUCACUGGCUCGAUACUGACGCUGAGGUGCGAAAGCGUGGGGAGCAAACAGGAUUAGAAACCCUUGUAGUCC